rnacentral:rRNA from 1 species
GGCGGCCACCGCUAUUGGAAUACGAUUAAGACAUGCGAGUCGAGAGACGUAAGGUCUCGGCGGACCGCUCAGUAACACGUGGACAACCUGCCCUUAGGUUGGGUAUAAACCCGGGAAACUGGGUAUAAUACCCGAUAGGUCUCGAUUGCUGGAAUGCAUCGAGAUUUAAAGCUCCGGCGCCUAAGGAUGGGUCUGCGGCCUAUCAGGUAGUAGUGGGUGUAGCGUACCUACUAGCCUACGACGGGUACGGGUUGUGAGAGCAAGAGCCCGGAGAUGGAUUCUGAGACACGAAUCCAGGCCCUACGGGGUGCAGCAGGCGCGAAAACUUUACAAUGCUGGCAACAGCGAUAAGGGAACCUCGAGUGCCAGGUUACAAAUCUGGCUGUCGAGAUGCCUAAAA